rnacentral:lncRNA from 1 species
AGUAAUUCCAGGAUUUCCAGUAAUCUGGAAUAUCCGCUACCCUGUCCUGAAAGCCCUCCUCCAGGCGUGGGUCGCCCAACUUGAGUUCGCUCAAUUUCCCCUUUCACCUGCAGAUGGCAGCACGAGUGCCGAUCACUGUCAGGCGAGGGAGCUCAGGGGUGGGAGCCGAAGAGAGUAAUUUAGGGAUAGAGGUGAGAACCGGGUUAGACACAGAAGUAAGAUCACAUGAACUCCGACUUCGGAUGGAACACGUCAUCCAUUUAAACCCUCGAGCCGAGCUCAACUGGAAACUCCACCUGACCACCGAGGACCCGAGCCCGCCGGCCGCCCUCCCGCGCUCUCCCGCCUGGGAACUGCGAGGCCAGUGCUGCACCUCCAAGGGGGGCGCCUGCGGACUCCACCAAGCUGGCUUCCCCCGUACUGCAGGCCCCUGCAGGAGCAGAGGAAUCGGACCCGGGUCUGCAGGCGAGGGACCGAAGGCGUCUUUAGACCUGACAGGGCUGGAAGAGACUUGAGCUUGCAAGAAAAAUAAACCAGAGAAUUUUGAAGGAGGAAUACAGAAAAGGAAUGAUGUUAACACAGAGAAACUCCAAAGUGGAGAGAAACAGAGUUGUGGUAGUAGAUCCCUGAAGACUUUUCACUUCACCAGAAAAUUGAAGUGACAUCCUUCACCAGAAAAUUGGCUGAUG